rnacentral:rRNA from 1 species
AUACGGAGGGUGCAAGCGUUAUCCGGAUUCACUGGGUUUAAAGGGUGCGUAGGCGGGCUGAUAAGUCAGUGGUGAAAGCUCCGAGCUUAACUUGGAAACUGCCAUUGAUACUGCCAGUCUUGAAUGUCGUAGAGGUAAGCGGAAUGUUGCAUGUAGCGGUGAAAUGCUUAGAUAUGUUACAGAACACCAAUUGCGAAGGCAGCUUACUAUGCGAUGAUUGACGCUGAGGCACGAAAGCGUGGGGAGCAAACAGGAUUAGAUACCCUGGUAGUCCACGCCCUAAACGAUGAUUACUCGAUGUUGGCGAUACACUGUCAGCGUCUUAGCGAAAGCGUUAAGUAAUCCACCUGGGGAGUACGCUCGCAAGAGUGAA